GGAACACAGGUGCUGCAUGGCUGUCGUCAGCUCGUGUCGUGAGAUGUUGGGUUAAGUCCCGCAACGAGCGCAACCCUUAUCAUUAGUUGCUACGCAAGGGCACUCUAAUGAGACUGCCGGUGACAAACCGGAGGAAGGUGGGGAUGACGUCAAGUCCUCAUGGCCCUUAUGGGUAGGGCUUCACACGUCAUACAAUGGUCGGUACAGAGGGUUGCCAAGCCGCGAGGUGGAGCCAAUCCCAGAAAGCCGAUCGUAGUCCGGAUUGUUCUCUGCAACUCGAGAGCAUGAAGUCGGAAUCGCUAGUAAUCGCGGAUCAGCAUGUCGCGGUGAAUACGUUCCCGGGUCUUGUACACACCGCCCGUCACACCAUGGGAGUGGAAUCUGGCAGAAGUAGGUAGCCUAACCGCAAGGAGGGCGCUA
rnacentral:rRNA from 1 species